GAUGAACGCUGGCGGCGUGCCUAAUACAUGCAAGUCGAGCGAACAGACGAGGAGCUUGCUCCUCUGACGUUAGCGGCGGACGGGUGAGUAACACGUGGAUAACCUACCUAUAAGACUGGGAUAACUUCGGGAAACCGGAGCUAAUACCGGAUAAUAUAUUGAACCGCAUGGUUCAAUAGUGAAAUACGGUUUUGCUGUCACUUAUAGAUGGAUCCGCGCCGCAUUAGCUAGUUGGUAAGUUAACGGCUUACCAAGGCAACGAUGCGUAGCCGACCUGAGAGGGUGAUCGGCCACACUGGAACUGAGACACGGUCCAGACUCCUACGGGAGGCAGCAGUAGGGAAUCUUCCGCAAUGGGCGAAAGCUUGACGGAGCAACGCCGCGUGAGUGAUGAAGGUCUUCGGAUCGUAAAACUCUGUUAUUAGGGAAGGACAAAUGUGUAAGUAACUGUGCACGUCUUGACGGUAACUAAUCAGAAAGCCACGGCUAACUACGUG
rnacentral:rRNA from 1 species